UUUCCGUAGGUGAACCUGCGGAAGGAUCAUUAAGGUUAUAGUCCCCCGGCCCCUCCGGGCUGGGGUCUUCUAUACCACCCUUUGUUUAUUACACCUUUGUUGCUUUGGCAGGCCUGCCCUCGGGCUGCUGGCUCCGGCCGGCUCGUGCCUGCCAGAGGACCUAAACUCUGUUUGUAUAUGAAGUCUGAGUACUAUAUAAUAGUUAAAACUUUCAACAACGGAUCUCUUGGUUCUG
rnacentral:misc_RNA from 1 species